AGACCUCAGGUCAGGCGGGGCUACCCGCUGAGUUUAAGCAUAUCAAUAAGCGGAGGAAAAGAAACUAACAAGGAUUCCCUUAGUAACGGCGAGCGAACCGGGAAGAGCCCACUGUGAGAAUCGGUCGCGUUGCGCGUCCGAAUUGUAGUCUGGAGAAGCGUCCUCAGUGGCGGACCGGUCCCAAGUCCCCUGGAAGGGGGCGCCAGAGAGGGUGAGAGCCCCGUUGUGACCGGACCCUGUCGCACCAUGAGGCGCUGUCAGCGAGUCGGGUUGUUUGGGAAUGCAGCCCCAAUCGGGCGGUAAAUUCCGUCCAAGGCUAAAUACUGGCGAGAGACCGAUAGCAAACAAGUAAUC
rnacentral:rRNA from 1 species